GAUUCCCCUAGUAACUGCGAGUGAAGCGGGAAGAGCUCAAAUUUUGAAUCUGGCGGUCUUUGGCCGUCCGAGUUGUAAUCUAGAGAAGCGUUUUCCGCGCUGGACCGUGUAUAAGUCUCCUGGAAGGGAGCGUCAUAGAGGGUGAGAAUCCCGUCUUUGACACGGACUACCAGUGCUAUGUGAUGCGCUCUCGACGAGUCGAGUUGUUUGGGAAUGCAGCUCAAAAUGGGUGGUAAAUUCCAUCUAAAGCUAAAUACAGGCGAGAGACCGAUAGCGAACAAGUACCGUGAGGGAAAGAUGAAAAGAACUUUGGAAAGAGAGUUAAACAGUACGUGAAAUUGCUGAAAGGGAAACGCUUGAUGUCAGUCGCGUCGGCCAGGGAUCAACCUUGCUUCUCGCUCGGUGUACUUCCUGGUCGACGGGUCAGCAUCAGUUUCGGUCGCCGUACAAGGGCGAAGGGAA
rnacentral:rRNA from 1 species